rnacentral:lncRNA from 1 species
AGUUUGUCGGCAACUUCUUCUUACUGCACACUCACGAGAGUUGCACCAAUCUGCCUAUAAAUAGGCAACCUGCAAAGUUAAAAAGAAGAGAAGAUAGAAAAGAAAGGGAGAAACGGAAAGAAAGAAAGAGAAAGGAGGAAAGAGAAGAGGAAAGAGAAAGGAGGAAAGAGAAGAGGAAAGGGAAAGGGGGAAAGGAGGAAAGAGAAGAGGAAAGAGAGUCAGGCAGAGAAGAGGAAGGGAAGGAAGAAAUAGGGUGAGUGAGCAGAGAGAAAAUUCAGUGAGCCUUACAUAUUGUAAACUCUAAAGUUGUAGUUCUAUUAUUUUAUUUAGUGAAAAAGUUACUGCUGCUGCUCUCCGAGGACGUAGGCAUAGCCGAACCUCGUUAAAUGCUGUGUCUCAUCUACUUUACGAGCAGCUCUGAAUUAUCGCACAUAUCCCAGGUUAUUUUUAUAACAUAAUUGACUUAUUGAGAGAGCACUCCCAUUGAUCGUGCUUAGAGCUCCACUCACUUGAAAUCUUAUUGUUUUUUUUUUUUUUUAAUAGUAAAGAUGAACUUUCAUUAAUAAAGACCAAAAAGAGGUCAAAGAAGCACCGAGACUACACAACCAGUCAAACGGCAUUAACAAGAAAAAGAAACCAAAGCGACAAGAAAAGGUAAAACUAAAGAAAAGCUACAAGGGAAAGUAAAAUAAAAGAGGAAAACACAGCACAGCCAACGAACAACAUCACAUAUUUUUUUUACUUGGUAACUGGUUCAGGUUGUGGGCUUCGAGGAAAUUGAUCUUAUAAUAUUCAAGAGUAGGCAAGUGGAUUCCAACAAAAAAAGAGACAAGGCAAGUGGAUUCCAAACAAACAAAAAAAGAGUAGGCAAGUGGAGCAUCUGGAAUUUGAUCUGAAAAAUCCGCGAGCAAUCCUUAUCAAAAAGACUUUUAUGAAAUGAAAGUAGUAUUAUUAAUAAUAUUUUCAGUAUUAUUGGUUAUGAAUAAAAUAAUUAACAAAAUAAUAUUAUCCCCUAUUGCAAGUUGCAAGUGGUCCGAAUGGAAAGUAA